rfam:Halococcus morrhuae DSM 1307 contig_43, whole genome shotgun sequence.
GGGCUCGUAGAUCAGUGGUAGAUCGUCUCCUUCGCAAGGAGAAGGCCUCGGGUUCGAAUCCCGACGAGUCCA